rnacentral:ncRNA from 1 species
AGCUCAUCCAGAGGGGCAGAGGGACCGGCCCAGUGAAGCCCCGGCAACCGUCGUCGACAAAUUCGUGAUUCUUCCCGCGAGGCCGUCGACGAAAAAGGUGCCAAUUCCGACCCACUACGGGACAGAUGAGGA